rnacentral:SRP_RNA from 1 species
AUGGGGACUAGCCCGGGUGGCCCGGCGUCACCUGUGACCCGAAACCGUCGGCAUGCGGGGGGCGAAGUUCGGAGAAGGCGGUAACGGGUUGUCUUUAAACGGUACAGGCCGACGUUGAAACCUCGUCCCAUGAGGUCGGUGGACAGGGAUCAAGACCCCGGAGGGGGUGGCGACCUGCUGUCGCGGGGACCGGUCCAGGCCCGGAAGGGAGCAGACUUACCGUGAACAUUCGGCGCCCAUGGGGUCGCGGGGUGGAGGAGGAGUGUGCCCGGAGGAGGCAGUCACGAACCGUCGACCGAGAACGUGUCCCCAU